AGGUCGUCCCGGGUGGGUAUCAGAUGGUCAGUAGGUCAUCCCUGGUGGGUAUCAGAGGGUCAGUAGGUCGUCCCUGGUGGGUAUCAGAGGGUCAGUAGGUCGUCCCUGGUGGGUAUCAGAGGGUCAGUAGGUCGUCCCUGGUGGGUAUCAGAGGGUCAUCCCUGGUGGGUAUCAGAGGGUCAGUAGGUCGUCCCUGGUGGGUAUCAGAGGGUCAGUAGGUCGUCCCUGGUGGGUAUCAGAGGGUCAGUAGGUCGUCCCUGGUGGGUAUCAGAGGGUCAGUAGGUCGUCCCU